CCCGGGCGGGGGCUUUGGUAAUGAAAAGCGUUUCCAUCUUCUUGUCGAGCGGACGCAAGGUUUCAGUAAACUCGAAAAAGCCCGCCGGUGAACAGGUUCAGAAGCGUAGGCGCAGAAAGUUGACCGACGAGGCGAGCAUGAAAGCUUACCACGCGAAAGUCGUCGAGGCUUUGAAGAAGAAGACGCGAUUUUCCCGCGCCGAGCUCGAGGCACUUUGCAAAAUUUACCGGAAAAUCACGACCGUGCCAGCGGCGAAAAUCGGGACGACUUUAUUCACCAAAGGCGCGCCGCAGACCGUCCAAACAGUCGAGGGCAUCGAUAGAACGAUUUUCCGCGAACUGUUGCACAACACUUUCGAUAUCAUCACAGAGGACGCAUUGAUUGAGCGAAUGUUCUGCUGUUGGGAUCGUGACAGCGAAGGCGCAAUCAGACUCGAAUCCUGGAUUAUGGGUUUGGAUGUUUUUGUUCGAGGAACUUUGAGGGAUAAAAUGGAGUUUUGUUUCCGAGUUUACGAUUUGAAUGGCGAUGGUUUUAUUACUAAAGAUGAAAUGUUUCUAUUACUCAAGAACUGCCUGAUAAAGCAACCGGGCGAAGAAGAUCCAGACGAAGGAGUGAGAGACUUAUCAGAACUAAUUCUCAAGAAACUCGACGUGGAUCACGACGGAAAAGUCUCUUUCAGCGACUACGAGAGUGUGAUCAAAGAGGAGCCAUUGUUAUUAGAAGCAUUCGGCCAGUGCUUACCCACAGAGGAAAGUUGCUCGGCUUUUCUAACGACCCUGCAGCCAUAAAAAAUAUAUAAAUAAUUAUUACAUGGAUUCGUUAUUACAAAAUUAAUUAAUAUCACGUGACAAAAAUAUUUACCAAUUAAGUUUCUCCAUCCACCGACACAGAACUUUAUCUCGGCUAUUAAAUCCCGUAAGAGUGAUAUUAGAGUGUCAUGUUUUCAUACGAAGGACAAUUAAUUUUAAGUCGCGAUAAGCUAGAAGUAUAUUUAAGUUGUCGGUUUAUUCGAAUGUUAGUCAUCACCUAUAACUCAAUAGUCGACACACUUUUAAUAUUAAAAAUUCAUCUGCCGAUUGGACAUACGUCAGCCAAUCGGUUCUUGGUAUAAUAGUUAAUAUUUAAUUGUCGUUAAGUGCUUGGAUCUAUUCCGUGCUGGCGAAUAAUAAUUUAAACAUGGAACAUAUUUCUCUAAAAUAAUUGUUUGUUGUAAUUAUCAGUAACCUUGCGAAGAUAUUUAAAACAAGUUAUUUCGCAGACUGGAUUAUUCGACAAAAUGCGACCGCUAGAUCUCAUCGGUUUCCUCCUCGUCUUAACUCUUUGGAGUGUUAACUCUCAAGAAGAUUUUGAUAAAAAUGAGCCGAGGCAAAAGUACGACCCGAAUUCGCUGGAGAUGAAUAAAAAACUGAUGACGCUCUUUUUGAGACUCGCUUAUCAGACAGCGAACCGAUGGAUUACUUUGAAAAAUUUAGAAAAGAGCAGAGCGGAACAGCGGAUUGACACUGAGCUGCAAAAUAUCACGAUCAGUGAGAUAAUGAAAACGCAGGAGAAAAAUGAUUCAGAAAAACCGGGCGAGAUUCAAAGCAGAUUUUUUUUCCCAACAGAAACCAGAGCUUUGUUUGAUAAAAUAAAUCCAAUUAGUGUUUUGUCUCGGAGUGCGAGCAAUUUAGUUAAUAAUCCGAAAGAAUUUGCACCAAAUUUGGGUCAGACUUUGGUCGAUCUCGGCAACAAAGCUCUUGACAGCAUGAACUCAUCAGUUAGAAUUAUUUCUGAUCAAAACUCUCUUCUGAAUGCCACGAGUUUGCAAAACGCGACUGAAGUUGUCAAUAGAAUAGCCGAGGAAAUUCCUGUCGGAGAUUCCAACAACAGCUCGGCUCCGUCUUUGAGAUUUUUGGGUGACAUGGAAAACAACAGUUCCAGUUCGAGUGUAAAUUCUGACAGCAACCCGACCAAUGACGCUGAUAAAAUAGAACAGAGGAACGGAGCUUUGGAAAUUUCUACAGUCGAGCCCAAGUCGGAAUCGACGACCACUUCGGACAUCACCAAAAGGGAAACAUCGAUCCAAUUGGAGCCGUCGACAGGGGAAAUUUUGCCGAUAGCGAAGAAGUUUUUGGGAUAAAACAGCUCAGAGAUCCAAGAUCGUCCUCGUUUAUUGAGAGCGAUGAACUUUUUGAGUUCAAAGAAGACGAUUCCCAAGACCUGGAGCCUUUGAUUUCAAAUUUGAAACUCAGCGAAAUCGUUGAUCAAAUUUCCGGCAUUCUUAUAUAAUCAUUAUACUUUUAUAAAUUUAUUUGUUUUUAUUUAUAGAAUUUUUUUUUUAGUUGCCAUAAAAAUAUCAAUUAAGUUAA